GCCGGGUGUGGUGGCUCACGCCUGUAAUUCCAACACUUUGGGAGGCUGAGGCGGGUGGAUCACCUGAGGUCAGGAGUUCAAGACCAGCCUGGUCAACAUGGUGAAACCCCGUCUCUA
ensembl:misc_RNA Metazoa_SRP Metazoan signal recognition particle RNA